rnacentral:rRNA from 1 species
UGGGGAAUAUUGGACAAUGGGCGAAAGCCUGAUCCAGCCAUGCCGCGUGCGGGAAGAAGGCCUUCGGGUUGUAAACCGCUCUUGUCAGGGAAGAAACGAGUUUCUCUAAUACAGAGACUUAAUGACGGUACCUGAAGAAUAAGCACCGGCUAACUACGUGCCAGCAGCCGCGGUAAUACGUAGGGUGCAAGCGUUAAUCGGAAUUACUGGGCGUAAAGCGUGCGCAGGCGGUUUUGUAAGUCUGAUGUGAAAUCCCCGGGCUCAACCUGGGAAUUGCAUUGGAGACUGCAAGGCUAGAAUCUGGCAGAGGAGGGUAGAAUUCCACGUGUAGCAGUGAAAUGCGUAGAUAUGUGGAGGAACACCGAUGGCGAAGGCAGCCCCCUGGGUAUGCACUGACGCUCAUGCGCGAAAGCGUGGGGAGCAAACA